rnacentral:rRNA from 1 species
AGAGUUUGAUCCUGGCUCAGAACGAACGCUGGCGGCAGGCCUGAGGCAUGCAAGUCGAACGAGAACGUCCCUUCGGGGAUUAGUAUAGUGGCGCACGGGUGCGUAACACGUGGGAACUUACCUAUUGGUAGGGAAUAACCAUUAGAAAUGAUGGCUAAUACCCUAUGGUCCCUUCGGGGUAAAGAUUUAUCGCCAAUGGAUAGGCCCGCGGCAGAUUAGCUAGUUGGUGAGGUAAUGGCUCACCAAGGCUAUGAUCUGUAGCUGGUUUGAGAGAAUGAUCAGCCACACCGGAACUGAGACACGGUCCGGACUCCUACGGGAGGCAGCAGCUAGGAAUAUUGGACAAUGGGGGAAACCCUGAUCCAGCCAUGUCGCGUGAGUGAAGAAGGCCUUCGGGUUGUAAAGCUCUUUCAGAUGCGAGGAUGAUGACAGUAACAUCAGAAGAAGCCCCGGCUAACUUCGUGCCAGCAGCCGCGGUAAUACGAAGGGGGCUAGCGUUGUUCGGAUUUACUGGGCGUAAAGCGCAUGUAGGCGGUUUAUUAGGUCGGUGGUGAAAGCCCAGGGCUCAACCUUGGAAUUGCCAUCGAUACCGGUAGACUAGAGUAUAAGAGAGGAUAGCGGAAUUCCGAGUGUAGAGGUGAAAUUCAUAGAUAUUCGGAGGAACACCAGUGGCGAAAGCGGCUAUCUGGCUUAUUACUGACGCUGAGAUGCGAAAGCGUGGGGAGCAAACAGGAUUAGAUACCCUGGUAGUCC